GAUUCAGAAGUCGAUAAGACCAGGAGAAGUGAAGAUGUAACAUGUUAUCUGUCGCUCCUCUUAGCUGGCGGAGAGAAUUUACAUUUAAAGAUUAGCAGAGUGAGAAAGAGAAAUCUGCCUUUUGUUGUGUGGGGUGAGGAGGAGGCAUCUACCCCUGGCCUUGACGCUAUCUCCCAUCACCUCUGCUAUCCAGACAGGACUCACCGAGAAAAGAUUGAUCUCUGGGCUGGUGAACAUAAUCUCUGUCCCAGUCAGAAAAGGAGAGAGGAAAUUAGCAGAGCGAUUGGUGGAGAAUGAUAUCUGUCAAAAGAAACACUUGGAGAGCACUGAGUUUAGUAAUAGGUGACUGCCGGAAAAAAGGGAACUUUGAAUAUUGUCAAGGCGCACGCGCCCAGCACCCUGCCUCCGGCGAUGCCGCCCCAGCCCCUCUGAUGGCCCUCCUCUCUGCUGCCACUCAUUCCAGAACAGGAGGCAUGAGCCCGGAACGCGCUUGCUUUUAGGAGACAGCCACUUUCUGUGUGGUACGCUGGAUUCAAGGAUGCCUGAUAAACCCCACUUGAAAAACUGAGGUGCUUAAGGAGUAAAAUAAUAUGUUCCUGGUGGCAUCCUCCAGAUCGUACUGAGAAGCACU
rnacentral:ncRNA from 2 species